AUUUUUCGAUAUCAUUUGCCUAGUGAUCGAAGGGGCUCAAAAUCAAUAAUUUUAAUGGCCAUAGUGAGCUGUUUGCAAGUUUAACGGUGUAGAAAUAUCCAAAUCACGUGAAAUUUUGAUAGAAAAUUCUUUAUACUAUAUAAAACAAGAUCAAUAUCUUUGAUCUAAAAUUUUAAUGUCAUAUUAUUAUAUUUUGUAAGAUUUUUAUUUUCAGUCGUAGAUUUUGAGCCCCUUCAUUCACUAGGUAAAUAAUAUCGAAGAAUGGCAUAAUUUAUUUUCUAGGUACUUCAAAUACUCUGGAUCAAGUUUAACGGAGUCGAUCGAUGAUUCGAAAAUCGCAACAUCGAAAACAAGUUGGAAGCACGGAGGGCUCCAUGCUUCCGAUAGCAUAAUAGCCUUACUCUAUAUAUAUAUAUAUAUAUAUAUAUAUAUAUAUAUAGAGUUGGACUGGACUACUAUUAGUAGCAAAAUCUCAUUGUUGCUACCAGUUUUUUAGCCUUUGGAUCAACCUUUUUCAUUAUUUCUAACCAUUGGAUUAAAUACUAUAAUCCAGUUUGGACCACUCAACCCUAAGGGGACCGCUCUAACAGACUAACAUCAUUCUGACCCUACAAUUUUUCAUCCAAGGAUUAAAAACUUGAUAGCAAAAAGAGCGUUUUACUAUUAAUAGUAUUCCAGCCUAAUUCUAUAUAUAUAUAUAUAUAUAUAUAUAUAUAUAUAUGACACUCCAAUAGUUCCUCAUCGGAUAAUGUGGGAGAUGUGAUGGAAUUAUAUGUGAUGGACAUACUAAAACUAAUAACAAAAUUUAAAUAUUUAUUUAAACAUUUUGGACUGAUUGUUUAGAGUCAAAUGAGCUAUUAUUAUACGAACCACAAAAAUGAGAGGGACCGCACAUUGCCCGGUGAUCUUCAGCUUUAUGUGCGAUUGGGCUAACGAAAAAGGUCGAGGCCUAAAACAAGAGAGUAUGUGACACUCCAAUAGUCUCAUAUUAUUUCAGAGUGACGAGGACUAGUUAAUAUUAAAAAAAUAUAUAACAUCUCAAUAAUCCCACAUCGCUCCCAUAUUAUUUUAGAGUGACGAGGACUAGUUAAUAUUAAAAAAAUAUAUAACAUCUCAAUAAUCCCACAUCGCUGUAAGGGGGCUUAUACGUGAUGGGCAUACUAGAGACUAUUUUAGGGGCUCAUAUGUGAUAGACAUACUAGAACUAAUCUUUUAAUGCAAUAUUAUAUAUCACAAAGAUAUUAUUAAAGUUGAAUAAGUAGUAAAUUAAUUAAUAUCUCUAAUUAUAUUACAGAUAAGCUUCAGUUUCGUGGUGCUGCCUUCAGUAUCACUGGCUUAUAUUGGUCAAGCUGCAUUCCUGACAAAAUAUCCAACCAAUGUCGGUGAUACGUUCUACAAAUCCGUUCCUGGUAAGUUAUAUAUAUAAAAUCUAAUUUAGGGAAAGUCUGCGUACAAAACUUAUCUGAACUAUAAAUCAUUUCGACUGACUUAGCUAUCUCAUCCUUUAAAAUUUUAAUUUUACUACUCAGACUUCCAAUUUGUUUGAUUUUGAAUCCGUCAACGAUACUUUCACUUUAAAAUUUGAAUAUGUCGCUUAUCUAUAUUUAGUUAGUAUAUAUAUAGUUUAUACAAAUCUCUUAAUUAUAAAUGUAUGAAAAUAAAUAAUUAGCUUAAAUUUUAAAGUCAAAGUAUCGUUGAUUGACUCAAAUCAAAAAAAUUUGAAAGGUCGGGUAGCCUAUUCAAAAUGGUCUAUAAUUCACAUAAGUUCUAUACAUUUUUACCUAUAAUUAAAAGGUACGCGAGCACUUUGCUUUUGGUAAAACAUAAAAAAAAUAUAUCUGAACUAUGACCAUUUUUUAAAAUUUUAAUUUUACUGUCCGACUUUUCAAUUUGUUUGAUUGAGUUAGUCGACGGCACUUUAACUUCGAAAUUUAAACUAAUUACUUACUUCAAUGAAUCCAGAGUUGCAAUAACUAUAGAGAUAAACGAUGCAUUAAAAUGCUGAAGUCAAAGUUUCGUUGAAUAACUCAAAUAAGAGCAGAGCUACUGUGCUAUUAGGAGCACAACAGUCCUUAUGCUCCUAACUUUCCAUCCAUUUAACAAUUUUGAUGGGUGGUUAGGAUAAGAGAGAGAGGAGAAAUUCAGGAGAAAAUCAAAAAGAAGAAAAAUUGAGACACCUAAUUUCUCUUCAAUUUUUCUUCUUUCUCUCAUCCUAACAAUUCAUCAAACUAAAUGAAUGGUUAGAAAGUUAGGAGCACAAGGGUUACUAUGCUCCUUAUAGCACAGUAGCCCUGCUCCUCAAAUAAAACAAAUUAAAAGAUUAGAUAGUCAAAUUUAAAAUGAUUUACAGUUUAGAUAAGUUAUGCAUAUUUCUAUCUAACUAUACCUGAAAAUAAAGAAUUGGUAUAUAUAUAUAUAUAUAGAGUUGGACUGGACUACUAUUAGUAGCAAAAUUCCAUUGUUGCUAUCAGGUUUUUAGCCUUUGGAUCAACUCUUUUCAUUAUUUCUAACCAUUGGAUUAAAUACUAUAACUCAGUGGAGACCACUCAACCCUAGGGGGACCACUCAACCCUAACCGACUAAUAUCAUCAUGACCCUACAAUUUUUCAUCCAAGGGUUAAAAACUUGAUAGCAAAAAGAGCGUUUUACUAUUAAUAGUAUUCCAGCCUAAUUCUAUAUAUAUAUAUANCCUACAAUUUUUCAUCCAAGGGUUAAAAACUUGAUAGCAAAAAGAGCGUUUUACUAUUAAUAGUAUUCCAGCCUAAUUCUAUAUAUAUAUAUAUAUAUAUAUAUAUAUAUAUAUAUAUA
rnacentral:lncRNA from 1 species